rnacentral:lncRNA from 1 species
UCCAAAUAAUUUCUAGUUUCUAUUUCUGAUUUUUUAUAUUUUUUAUUUUGUCAUUUGAUAUUUUUUGUGAAUUUUUUCUUUCCUGGUUAUUUUUAAUUCAUUUUAAUUAGUUUUUGAUAUUCAAAAAAUACAAAAAUAUUUUCCUAACCUAUUUGAAUGAUGAUGAAUCUAUGAAAAAUAUUCUCAUCAAUUUUAAAAUUGAUUUGAGAUUUAUUUGAGAUUUUAGUUCAAUUAUGCUAUUUUCAUUCAUUUUUAAUUGAUUAAAAAUAGUUUCUGACUUUUAAAAAUGCUGAAAUUUUUUGUCAAACUUUGUUUGACCUUGUUGAACUUGG